GAACUUAAGCAUAUCAAUAAGCGGAGGAAAAGAAACUAACAAGGAUUCCCCUAGUAACUGCGAGUGAAGCGGGAAAAGCUCAAAUUUAAAAUCUGACGGUCGUCUCCUGGCCGUUCGAGUUGUAAUCUAGAGAAGCGUCUUCCGCGCUGGACCGUGUACAAGUCUCUUGGAAUGGAGCGUCGUAGAGGGUGACAAUCCCGUCUUUGACACGGACUGCCAGGGCUUUUUGUGAUGCGCUCUCGAAGAGUCGAGUUGUUUGGGAAUGCAGCUCAAAAUGGGUGGUAAAUUCCAUCUAAAGCUAAAUAUGGGCGAGAGACCGAUAGCGAACAAGUACCGUGAGGGAAAGAUGAAAAGAACUUUGAAAAGAGAGUUAAACAGUACGUGAAAUUGUUGAAAGGGAAACGAUUCAAGUCAGUCGCGUCGUGCGGCAAUCAACCCUUGCAUUGAUUUGCUGGGCUUACUUUCUGCUUCGACGGGUCAGCAUCAAUUUUGACCAUCGAAAAAUGGCUUGGGGAACGUAGCAUCCUUCGGGAUGUGUUUACAGCCCUUUGUCCGCAUGCGAUGGUUGGGAUUGAGGAACUCAGCACGCCGCAAAGGUUGGGGUCUAUUGGCCUACAUUAACGUGCUUAGGAUGCUGGCGUAAUGGCUUGAACCGACCCGUCUUGAAACACGGACCAAGGAGUCUAACAUGCCUGCGAGUGUUUGGGUGGAAAACCCGAGCGCGAAGUGAAAGUGAAACCUGGUUGAGAUCCCUGUCGUGGGGAGCACCGACGCCCGGACCAGACCUUUUGUGACGGAUCCGCGGUAGAGCAUGUAUGUUGGGACCCGAAA
rnacentral:rRNA from 1 species